UUCCUACAUCGACAGCCAGUUUGGUGGGUGACGAAGGUGUCACGCGCUGGGAAGGAAAUGAAGGAUUAUCUCCCCUGAAUGUUCGUCUUGCGUUUGUGGAUAUGGAAACAUAUACUUUUGCAGUUGUUGGAGGAGGAAUAGCUGGAAUUUCCUGUGCCGAGACGUUGUCUGCAUUGUGCCCAGAUGAGAGAGUGUUGCUUGUUACUGCCAGUGAUCUUGUCAAGGCUGUAACCAACUACCAGAAGCUAUCUCGAACCUUGGAGACAUUUGAUGUAGAAGAGAAGCCCUCAAGCUCUGUGGAGGCUGACUGUCCCAAUGUGCAGGUUCACAAGUCUACAGUCACAUCGCUGGAUGCUGUCAGACAUGAACUACGAUGUGCUGAUGGGCGGACUGUCCAGUAUGACAAGCUGUGUAUAUGCUCUGGAGGAAAACCAAAGGUGAUCAGUAAUGGCAACAAGCAUGUCAUUGGCAUUAGGGAUACAGAGAGCGUGAAGGUGUUCCAACAAAGACUUACUGCUGCAAGACGGAUUGUAGUGGUUGGCAAUGGAGGCAUCGCAACAGAACUGGUCUAUGAGAUAGAGGGAUGUGAGGUGGUAUGGGCCAUCAAGGACAAGUCCAUAGCUUCAACAUUCAUAGAUGCAGGUGCUGCUGAGUUCUUCCUGCCGCAGCUCAACCAAGACAAGCCUGACAGCAGUGGCCCAGUGAAGAGACUCAAGUACAUGCCAGAAGGGCACACAGUUAGCAAGAAGACAUCUGAUGACAGACCACAUGGUGGAGCUCUUGGGCCUGACUGGGCAAGCAGUAGAAAGAUGGCUGGUGCAGGGCAGGUGUGUCACAGCAUCCAUGUGGAAUAUAAUGUGGAGGUGCAUCACGUGUUAGAUGGAACAGAGAUGACGACUUAUGGAUAUUCAGCUUCAGAACCUUUCAAGGCUCCACAGUCACAUGUUUCAGACAGUUGGCCAGUGUAUGUUCGUCUCAGCAAUGGGAAAGUUUAUGGUUGUGAUUUCAUCGUCAGUGCAACGGGCGUAGUCCCCAACACACAGCCAUUUGUUGGUGACAAUUUGCUAUCAGUGUCCCCUGAUGGAGGUAUUGAAGUUAACAGUUGUAUGGAAACCUCUGCUACUGAUGUAUAUGCUGCUGGUGAUGUGUGCACAGCAUCAUGGGAACACUCCAAGCACUGGCUCCAGGUUCGACUGUGGUCCCAGGCCAGACAGAUGGGGUGCUUUGCUGCUCAGAGCAUGGCUGCAGCAGUGAGAGGAGAGAAGAUUACACCAGACUUCUGCUUUGAGCUGUUUGCUCAUGUCACUAAAUUUUUCAAUUAUAAGGUGGUACUACUUGGCAAGUUCAAUGCACAAGGACUUGAUGCAGGGCAUGAGCUGCUUCUCAGGGUUACUGAAGGUAAGGAAUAUGUUAAGGUGAUUAUACAAGAUGGCUGCAUGAAAGGAGCUAUCUUAAUAGGUGAGACGGAUCUGGAGGAGACCUUUGAGAACCUGAUACUUAAUGGGAUGGACUUGACCCCAUUUAAGGAACACCUUUUGGACCCCAACAUUGAUAUAGAUGACUUCUUUGAUUGACUCUCUCCAUCAGGGCAUUUUUAGUAACUGUGAUGCAACAAAAUAACAAUGUGACUGUAUAUAGAGGUGUCAAGUGCGAUGGAGACUGUAUACACAGGUGUCAAAUGUGAUGGAGACUGUAUACACAGGUGUCAAAUGCGAUGGAACUGUAUACACAGGUGUCAAAUGUGAUAGAGAGUGUAUACACAGGUGUCAAGUGUGAUGGAAACUGUAUACACAGGUGUCAAGUGUGAUGGAGACUGUAUACACAGGUGUCAAAUGUAAUGGAGACUGUAUACACAGGUGUCAAGUGUGAUGGAGACUGUCUGUAUACACGUGUCAAAUGCGAUGGAAACUGUAUACACAGGUGCCAGGUGUGAUUGAGACUGUAUACACAGGUGUCAAGUGUGAUGGAGACUCUGUAUACACAGGUGCCAGGUGUGAUGGAGACUAUACACAGAUGUCAAGUGCAAUGGAGACUGUAUACACAGGUGUCAAGUGUGAUGGAAACUGUAUACACAGGUGCCAGGUGUGAUGGAGACUAUACACAGGUGCCAGGUGUGAUGGAGACUGUAUACACAGGUGCCAGGUGUGAUGGAGACUAUACACAGGUGCCAGGUGUGAUGGAGACUAUACACAGGCGCCAGGUGUGAUGGAGACUAUACACAGGUGUCAAGUGUGAUGGAGACUAUACACAGGUGCCAGGUGUGAUGGAGACUAUACACAGGUGUCAAGUGUGAUGGAGACUGUAUACACAGGUGUCAAGUGUGAUAGAGACUAUACACAGGUGUCAAAUGUGAUGGAGACUAUACACAGGUGUCAAGUGUGAUGGAGACUAUACACAGGUGUCAAAUGUGAUGGAGACUAUACACAGGCGCCAGGUGUGAUGGAGACUAUACACAGGUGUCAAGUGUGAUGGAGACUAUACACAGGUGCCAGGUGUGAUGGAGACUGUAUACACAGGUGCCAGGUGUGAUGGAGACUGUAUACACAGGUGCCAGGUGUGAUGGAGACUGUAUACACAGGUGCCAGGUGUGAUGGAGACUAUACACAGGUGUCAAGUGUGAUGGAGACUAUACACAGGUGCCAGGUGUGAUGGAGACUGUAUACACAGGUGUCAAGUGUGAUGGAGACUAUACACAGGUGUCAAGUGUGAUGGAGACUAUACACAGGUGCCAGGUGUGAUGGAAACUGUAUACACAGGUGUCAAGUGUGAUGGAGACUGUCUGUAUACACAGGCGCCAGGUGUGAUGGAGACUAUACACAGGUGUCAAGUGCAAUGGAGACUAUAUACACAGGUGUCAAGUGUGAUGGAGACUGUAUACACAGGUGUGUGUGUGUGGGGGGGGGGGGGGAUGUCAUCUCCUGAUGACUUUGUUAAUAACAGGUCGAAUCUACAUGUAACGUUAAAAACCUAUAAUUUUUUUACUCUGUCAGAGGCAAUUGAUCUUAACAGGAGACACAACUUUGUUAUAAUACCAUUAAUGGCAUCGGUUAAUCCAGUUACCGACUUCUCACUACUUAGUAUAUAUACAGUGAGAGAAAAGAUGGAAGAGAAACUUGGUCAGUAAAAAAUCUACAUUAGAGGCUAUUGUCAAAAAAUUCAUAAAUCAAGAAUAAAAGCUUUUUGGUGCAAAGAAUUGCAAAACUCCAGGAACAAUGUAUGACUUUUGUAAAUUAUUCAGCCCACACUUGGCUGGUGUAAACAGGGAAACUCAACCUAAAUAAGAUGAUGUUUAAGUAUGUUAUGACUUUAAUAAUAAAAAUAUAAAUUGUGGAGUCCUUAACAUACCUAUUUCAAGGUUGGAAAGUCUUCAGUGCUGUCCAGGCCAUGAAGCUGAAUAACACUGCAGGAAUUGACCAGAUACAGGCAGAAGUGUUGAAGAACAAUUCGAGUGUUGAUGUUUGACAGCGAAUGUUUAAACUGUUUUCAAUAAAGGACCCCAAAACAAGGUGCAUCCUUUAGGCCUUAUUUGGCCUGAAUUAUAUUUGUGACCAUAGUGUAUAUAAUUGUAAACAUGACACUGUAAUAAACUAUAUUAUUAUUAUUA
rnacentral:misc_RNA from 1 species